UCUAGGGUCAGAUUGAACGCUGGCGGCAUGCUUUACACAUGCAAGUCGAACGGCAGCACGAAAGAGCUUGCUCUUUUGGUGUCGAGUGGCGAACGGGUGAGUAAUACAUUGGAACGUACCGAGUAAUGGGGGAUAACUGUCCGAAAGGAUGGCUAAUACCGCAUACGCUCUGAGGAGGAAAGCGGGGGACCUUCGGGCCUCGCGUUAUUCGAGCGGCCAAUGUCUGAUUAGCUAGUUGGUGGGGUAAAGGCCUACCAAGGCGACGAUCAGUAGUGGGUCUGAGAGGAUGAUCCGCCACACUGGGACUGAGACACGGCCCAGACUCCUACGGGAGGCAGCAGUGGGGAAUUUUGGACAAUGGGCGAAAGCCUGAUCCAGCCAUGCCGCGUGUCUGAAGAAGGCCUUCGGGUUGUAAAGGACUUUUGUCAGGGAAGAAAGGGU
rnacentral:rRNA from 1 species